CAGCCGCCGCGGUAAUACGUAGGUGGCAAGCGUUGUCCGGAAUUAUUGGGCGUAAAGGGCUCGCAGGCGGUUUCUUAAGUCUGAUGUGAAAGCCCCCGGCUCAACCGGGGAGGGUCAUUGGAAACUGGGAAACUUGAGUGCAGAAGAGGAGAGUGGAAUUCCACGUGUAACGGUGAAAUGCGUAGAGAUGUGGAGGAACACCAGUGGCGAAGGCGACUCUCUGGUUUGUAACUGACGCUGAGGAGCGAAAGCGUGGGGAGCGAACAGGAUUAGAUACCCCUGUAGUCCCUGUCUCUUAUAA
rnacentral:rRNA from 1 species